UAAAAGGGAUGAUGAGUUUAAAAGUUCACUUCCUCGCAAUUUGGAAGACCCUCAAGAAAUAAAGUUUCAUCCAACGAAGGAGAGUGCAAGAGGGACGUACUGGUAACGGCGGGGACAUAGAAGCUCAGAUGGCCGAUACGCUGCUUUAUAUCUCAUCUUGCUGCAUGAAUGAAUGUAAUAGCCAAGGUAAUAAUACUGAAGACUGGCGCAGUGAACUUGAUUUUCCUUCACCCAAGAUAUUUCUUGCAAAGCCGAAUAUUUUCCCAGUGAUAAAAAGGCAAAGUCAGGGUCCCAAAAUAAAUAUUUACUCGACAAGCAUUUAGGAAGGAUAUCCACCACACCAACCGCAACUAAUCGGCCAUCAAUAACAUAUGACUGAUGGAAAGACCCAAAACCGCAGGGAGGAACUGAACCAUCAUUGGUCGAGGGAACAAAAACUAAUGGAGUGUCAACCAAAAAUCUCUUGUACGCACUCUCUGUGACCUGGGCUGGAUUGUCCUUGUGCACUUUCAACUGAUAUCGCCUGUACAACUCAAAUUCUUCACGCUCAAAAGUGGAUCUUUUCAGAAGAAUCUCAAGCUUCCGCCUUCUUCCUGAACAACAUUUACAGCACCUCACCAUACAUCUUCUCUUGUUUCCAUUUCUCGUUGAAGAUUCUUUAGAGAGAGAUUUUUCUUCGCCAGUCUUAUCCGCUGAAGCGUGCUCUGCAAUAGAAUAAAAGUUCAGAUGUCCGUUACAUGCUUGGACCAAGAAGCCAGAUGUUUCAUCCAUUUGAGACAAUGACCGCGCCAACUUUUCUCCAAUCCUUCGAGGUGUCAACUCAGAAGGCAGUUGGUCUUCUGCUGAGAUUCCAGAGAAUUCUGACCCUUUUUCAUCCUUUUUUCCUGACUGUGCACGCCUUAAAGUGGCAGCCAAUUGGAAAGCAAUGUUACUGGUAUACGAGAGAUUUUCCAAUCCUUUGACUAGCUUCUUCUUCUUGGUUGGGGAGACUCCUUUGACAGAAGCUUUAGGUAAUUGAAGAUUGGCAGAAAACGUCUCCCUUUCAAUGCAUGCCUGCACAGCCUUAUCAAUUGCAUCAGACAAGUAAUGCAUAAAUUGUUCUGGCUCAUUCUUAUCCUCCUCCACAUCCACAGAAGUUUCAACCGUUGCCAAGCUUGACCUUCCAUGACAUUCACAUUCACAUGCCACUUUAGAAGUAUUUAAAUCCUCCAGGAGCUCAGGCUUGGCUUUGGUGUCCAGUGUACCAUCCAGAAACCUAGAAACUAAUCACCAUGGUGAGAAAUUCUUGUACAUUAUAUCCAGAGUAUGCAGCUUUGCUAAAUCCUCACCUCAGAGGCAUAAUUUGGUUGAAAUGCACAAGUAGCCUAACAAUUUUCACAACCAUUGCACUUGUUAAGUUUAGCUUCAUGGUGUAAAAAGACCGAGAAAUUUCUCAAGGAGUCAAAAAGCAAAGCUCUUUCACUUUGAGAAAUCUCCUAGGUAGGAAAGCUUAGUGACGUCAAACUAAAAUUCCACUCAUGGAGUUGUCCAUUGAAAUACCAUUCCAAUGCCUACCAGCCUCAGAGUGGGCAAAUAGUAUUUUCGAUGACCACUGCUCUAAUCAAUUGACAAAGAAUGGACUCCAAACUCGAAUGCUGUCUUGAAAACAGGGUGGUGGUCGAUUUUGCAAAAUGCAAUGACGACGGAAUGAUGAAAAAAAUCAUAUGUGAAGAUGCAAUGAUCCAAUGAAUAGAAUCCAUAAUGUAGAGAGGUUAAUAAAGUAAUACCUUUCCAUCUGUUUGCGUACUCGAUUUUGCUCCUUGGAAGGAGAAAAGUCCGCUGCUUUUAAGCGGAUAGUAUAAGAAGGGCAACACGUAGUACUCAUAUCUGGCUUGUAAAGGAAAGAGCCAGAUCUUCUCCAUCCUCGAUCAAGGAGAUCUACAGGAUGAGUACCAAAGUAUGAAUUGCCACUCAAAAGAAAAAUGCAGAAUCAUCGAAUACGCUAUAACAUCUAUCCGACCCAUUAUUGCCACAGUAAGAAACCUAGCAGAGAAACCCAUCAGGUACAUUUGAAAGAAGAAUAAAAGGAGAAGGGUAAGACACGGACAGAAACUACUCGAGCCGGAACUUGAGCAUCCACCACAGCUCCGACACGGUUUCUCUGAGCUCUUGCAGUUAAAUACGCACAUACGGAAGCAUACGUGCAUGUCCUAACCGUUGAUAGAAGGAGUACGCAUAAAUUUCCCUCGUACGGAUCAAAUAUUCCGAAUUUCUCUAGUUCUUUCGAUCAGACAUGUGCACAUAUCGAAACUACAUCAGCCGAGUUCGAUAAGUAACAGCGCAUCGACAGUCCAGAGUUGCCCAGACUCUCAAAAUAGGAAAUUGCACACCAACCUUGAUAGUCAUCCACGGUCAGGCUCUGCGCAAUCAAGCCUGCGAUCCAAGUCGAAGAGACGUUAAAAAACAAACAACCCGAAACGGGAAAAAAUCGUCAGCGCGAGCCGACGCACGCAACGAAGCAUCAGAUUGGAACUAGAGACUAAACGCGAAUCAGCAAUUCCAGCGACCGUGAACGUCACGACAGACGACAAAAGCCGGAAAAAAGCAAACCCCGAAGCACGGCACCUCCAGUCCCGACCACCGGAGGCCGGGCAAAAACCGUACUCAACGACACGGGAGGGAGGCAAACAACGAGAAACGAAGGAGAAACCGUACGGACCGUGAGAAACGCUGGAGAACCCAUUUGGCGAUUUGCAGUACCCGCAGGAGCUCCUCCGCCGGCCGCAGUCCGAGACCACCGACUCCCCCCUUCCGCCGCCGCUGCUGCUCGCCUCGCUGCGAUGAUUGGCCGCCAUCUCCGAUCGAAGCUCCUUCCCUUCAACUAUUCAUCACCAAAGCAGAGGCGGAAAAAGGGCGAGGGAAUUGCCGGCGUCUCCGAUGUCUACGAGCUUCGAAUCCGUUUCCGGAAUUUGGAUAUAUAAAUCCGUGGGCUCUUCCUUCAAGCUCUUCUUGACUCGGCUAGGCGGUUUAACCCCGCCUUCUCCGGUUUUCCUUCCUCCCUCCCCCAGGGUCUUUCCUCGGAAAAGGGACAAAAGAAAAGUAUCAUCUCCAUUUUUAUUUUUAUUUUUUUUUUGCUUUUCUGGUGGCGUACUCUGAGAAUAUGUCCCGAAUGAGGCCACGAUUUUCACCCUCUUUUACCGCAAAGGCCCAUCGAAAGGUGGGGGCGGCAAUUUGCGUUUUUUCACCCCGGGAGUCUCUCCCCUAAUAUUGGCAAUCGAUAUCGUUUCACGAAAACUCCACAUUAAUAUACUUAUGAUAAUUUUAAAUUAAUUUUGAUAAUAAUGCUAAAAUAUAUAUAUAUAUAUAAUUUUUUUUAAAAGACCAAACCCUUCAUCAAAAUUUCUUAAUUUUUAUUUGUUUAAAAUUGAAAAAAAAUAACGUAUGCAACUUUUUUAAUAUAAAUUUUGACAAUAAUGCUAAAUAUAUAUAUAUAUAAUUUUUUUUAAAAAGACCAAAUCAUUUGUCAAAUUUUUUUUAGUUUUUUAAUUGUUUAAAAUUGAAAAAAUAAUUUAUGCAAAUUUUUAAAUAUAAAUUCGAAAAUAAUUCUAAAAAAUCAAAUAUAUAUAUAUAUAUAUAUAUAUAUAUAUAUUAAAAAGAACCAAACUCUUCGUUGGAAUUUUUUAAUUUUUAUUUGUUUAAAAUUGAAAAAAAUAAUGUAUGUAACUUUUUAAAUAUAAAUUUUGACAAUAAUGCUAAAAAAUCAAAUAUAUAAAUAAUUUUUUUAAAAAGACCAAAAUAUAUUUAUUUUUUUUAGUAUUUAUAUAAUUUUGAUUUUUUAGCAUUAUUUUGGCAUUUAAAAAAAAAUAACGAGGGCAAAAUUAGAAAUUUGAAGAAUAAGUUAUGAUAAUUUUGGAAAAAAAAAUAAGUUUUAGUAUUUGACUAAAUGCUAAAAGCUUAAAACUAGUCCCUACUAAUAUUGGCCUUUCAGACUUUUUAAUAUUGGCUUUCACUUGAAAGUUACUUCAAAAUGAUUGCCAAAUAAUUUAGCAUUUUCUCAAGAGACUUUGAAAUGUGAAAAUUCUUUGAGAAUGUUGAACCAAAUAUAUCCAAAGUCCAGUUUUUAUUGAGAAAGUAUCCGUUGGUGUUGGGUCUUGAUAAUCCAUGGUUCAUACAAGGGAAAGGGAAAGAAUAUUAUCGAAGAAUACAAUGUAGGAAAUUGAAAAGUAAGAGAGACCAAAAUCAAAAGACGUAUUUGCACGUAUUUUCUAUCAUAUCCACACGCUCCACCAAUCAAGGCGCACAAGUAUUUCGUUCAUACCACUUGCUCUGAUUGCGACAUUCGUAGUCUUAUCGCUAUCCCCAAAAUAUAGUAAAAGCCCUACACCCACUAACCCAAAAAAAAGUUUGAGAAAGAUGUCGUGGCAGCCUGGCUGGUACUUCAAUUGCCGCCUUAUUUUCAGAUGAUGAUGAUGGUGGUGGAAAGGUGCUCCACUCAACACCAGCCAAAAAAGAAGAAGAGAGAACAGCUAGUAGUUAAAUAGUCAAUCCUGGUCCUUUUCAUAUUGAAGGGGAAAAUGAUGCACGGGGGGCUAGAAGCUCGGGACAGGACAGACGGCCUUCAACUCCAGAAAAUAUUUGGUACCUCUUAUGUAACUAGCAUAACAAUAAAAGGAGAUCUAAAGAGGUGAGACACGUUUAAAGUAAGCCCAAACGUCAGAUUACCAUGCACGCUUUCUUCUCCCUCCUCUCUCCUGUCUCCUCUCUUUGCCCAAAUGCCAUAAUUCUCUACACACGCUCUCUCUCUCUUCGCCACCCGCUCUCUAUCCCACCGAGCUCUCGUUUGACCGACAAACUUUGCCCCAACGGAGGCAAAGCCGCGUUCAUUCAUCCCACAAGGGUUCGAUUGUGACUUGAAGAGGGAAAGAGAGAACAGCCGAUGGGGGCUAGCGAGCUAUCAUCAAACCAGCGCUGUGGCUCGUCGGCUAGACAAGGGCACGAUGGCUCGUUCAACGAACCACCACACAACCUUGCCUCGAGGUUGUCUACACUGUCGCGAAGUUCGUCGAUUAAGCGCGGUGGCUCGUCUGAUGAGCAAUCUCACGGCUCCGCCUCUGCAUAGAAAAGUUGCCUCCUCUGACGCUAGCCAACCUCAACGGAGAAGAAGAUGAAUAGUUGCAAAUAAGGGCAAAAUCGAAAAACAAAAAAAUUAGUGAGAAUAUUGGGUGUUUGAUAAAAUUUUCGAAUCCACUUUAAGAAAAAGUUUACAUUUGAAAAAUUGAAAACUCAAGGAGGUUACAGGCUACCUUGGGCUUCCAGCCUUCUUGCUAUGCAAGAAAGCCUAGGGAGGUAAAAAAAAAUUUAUUCUGAAACUAUCCUCAUUGACUUUUUUGGUUUUCCGAUUUUUCCCUUAUUUGCAAUUGUUCAUCUUCUUCUUUGUGGGGCUAGCCAGCGUGGCUACUGUGGCUAUGAGGGGUCGGCAAUGGGCUAAAGAGAGGCUAGCAUAAUCACGACGACCUAGGUGACCGUCGCCGGGGGUUGUGUGACCUAGGUGAGUGCCAUCUGGGUCACACAAGACAGGCUGAGGUCACUUAAUCCAGACAGUAGAUGGCCCUCGAUAAUUGCGCAACCCCAGCAAGAGUCUGCCUUGUUUCGUGCAACCUAGUUGGCCAUUGUUAGGGUUGAGCGACCUCCGCGAGAGUCACGCCAACAAAGGUUGCCUGGCUUUGCCUGGCCCAACCGGCCCUUGUUGGGGUUGAGCAACCUCGGCAAGGGAUCGUACGAGCUACGCGAUGUAGCUAACCCUUGUUGGGGUCGAGCAACCUUCAUGAGGGUCACUUCAAUGAGGGCUACUUGGGUUUGCACAACCCAACUGGCCCUUGCAGGGUUUGAGUGACCUUUGUGAGGGGUUGCAUGGGUUGCACGACACUCGUCCAAUCCUAGGUGGCCUUCGCCAUGGAUCUCUAGGGCAGACGACAACUGCUGGCAACAAAUCUAGAUCACCAACGGCCACCUGCCCUUGGUUUGUUAGGGGCAACAUAUUUUUUAGUACCUGAAAUGAUUUGUCAAUAUAAUCUUUCCAAACAUUAUUUUAUUUAAAAGUACUUCACGAUAAACUCUUACAUUACGAUUUAAUAAACAUGAUUUGCAUUUUGGAAAACUCAUUUAACUUAAAAGUAUUUUACAUUUUUCCAAAAAAAAUUCCCAAAAAUUUAACCAAACGCACCAAAGAGAGUGCACUAGGUAGUAUGGCAUUUGGGUGAAAGAGAGGAGAGAGGAGAGAACAGUGCGUGCAGCAUUUGGACAAGAGAGAGGGAAGAGAAGAGAGCAUGCAAGGAAGUGAUGUUUGGACCCACUUUGGAUCUGUGUUGCCAUUUCAAGUCCCUUCUUAUUUAUUGUACUAGCUACAUAAGAGAUACCUAAUAUUUUCUUCCUUCAACUUAGUGAAUCUAGAUGUGAUGUGAAGAGGUGACAAGACCAUUUCCUCGAACGUGGAUUACAGCAUCUACUUAAAGCCUAUCAAAAUAACAAGUCAUACCUCGAUGUAUUACCUCACUAGUCCUGUGCCAUCGGAUACACUUGACUCAAUGUGUGUUCCAAAAAGAGGAACUCCACGAGUCAUGACAUUCCAGAGGAUGUAUUUUUGCUACUAAGCUAUCAAACAAGAACAAGAACAACGAAAUUAUAGUCCUAUUCAAACAGUGGCAACACCUUCGGGGACAACCAUCGAAGCAGUUGCCGCCUCCUCCGAAACAUCAGCCACUGCGGCACCACUGACUUUAGGGCCAUCUGUGUUGGGUGCUGAUGGCCCUGAAUGAGGCCACAAUUUUUUGGUAGUGUACUCUGAGAAUAUUUCGCAAAUGAGGCCACAAUUUUCACCCUUUUUUACCGGAAGGACCCAUCGAAAAGGGGGCAGCAACUUGCGUUUUUUCACCCCGGGAGUAUCUCCCCUAAUAUUUGUGAUCGAGAUCAUACCACGAAAACUCCAAAUUGAUAUACCUACAAUAAUUUUUAAAUUAAUUUUUUAACUGUCAAAAACUCCAAACUAAUAAAACUCUUCGUUAGUUUACAUUAAAUUUUAUCAUCAAAUUAAUAACAUAUGACAAUUAAUGAGCGUACUAAUUUGAUGGCUUGCCUUUUAUUUGUCAUGUAUUGAUCUAAUUUGAUAAAGACUAAAGUAGAGUAAAAUUAUCAUAAAUAUACUAUUUUGAUAUUUUUGAUAAUAAAAAAGUCAGUUUAAAGUAAAUUUAUCAUAAAUAUAUCAAUUUGUAUAAUGUUAAUCCAUUGCUCAAAUAGCUCAAACUUUGAUUACGACAUAAAGUCCAUUUUCCAUUGAGAAAGUAUCGGUUGGUGUUGGGUCUUGAUAAUCCAUAGUUCAUACAAGGGAAAGGGAAAGAAUAUUAUCGAGGAAUACAAUGUAGCAAAGUGAAAAGUAAGGGGGGGGGGGGGGGGGACCAAAAUCGAAAGGUGUAUUUUGCACGUAUUUUCUAUCAUAUCCACACUCUCCACCAAUCAAAGGCGCACGGGUGACGUAUUUCGUCCAUACCCCUUGCUCUGAUUGCCACGUUUUAGUCUUAUCAAUAUCCCCAAAAUAUAGUAAAAGCCCUACACCCACUAACCCAAAAAAAGUUUCGAGGAAGAUGUCGUGGCAGCCUGGCAGGGACUUCAAUUGCCGCCUUAUUUUCAGAUGAUGAUGAUGGAAAGGUCCUCCACUCGAUACCAGCCAAAAAAAAAGAACAACUAGUAGUUAAACAGUCAACCAUGGCCCUUUUCGUAUUGACUGGGAAAAUGAUGCAGCUGGGCUAGAAGCCCGGCACAGAACAGACGGCCUUCGAAAAAAUAUCUGGUGCCUCUUAUGUAGCUAACAUAACCAAAAAAGAAGGGAUCUAAAACGGUGACACCAGACCCCAAACCUCAGAUUCCCAUCCACGCUCUCUUCUCCCUCCUCUCUCCUAUCUCCUCUCUUGCCCAAAUGCCAUACUCCUCUACACUCUCUCUCUCUCUCUCUCUCUCUCUCUCUCUCUCUCUCUAGCCCGACUCUCCCUCCCUUCGCCACCCCCUCUCUAUCCCACCAAGCCCUCGUUUGACCAACAAACUUUGCCCCAACAGAUGCGAAGCCACGGUUAUUCGUCCAACAAGGGUUCAAUUGUGAUUCGAAGGGGGGAAGAGAGAACAGCCGAUUGGGGACAGCAAAGCUAUAGUCGGAUCAGCGCUCUGGCUCAUCAGUUGGACAACGGCAUGAUCACUUGUUCCACGAACCACCUCAUAACCUCACCUCAAGGUUGUCUCCACCGUCACGAAGUUUGUCGAUCGAGCGCGAUGGCUCGUCUGGACGAAUCAUCGCACGGCUCUGCCUCCACAUAGAAAGGUUGCCUCCGCUGGCACAAGCCAACCCCAACGGAGAAGAAGAUGAGCAUCGCAAAUAAGGAUAAAAUCGAAAAACCAAAAAGAUAUGAUGGGUAAAAAUGACAAGACCAUCGCCUCGAGACACAAAGGAUAGCAUAGCAUCAACAUCAAGGAAGAGCCUAUAAGAAUAACAAGUCGUACCUUGAUGUAUUACCUCGCUAGUCCUGUCCCCUCGGUACAUGUGACCCAGUGUGUGUUCCAAAAAGAGGAACUCCACGAGUCAUGACGUCCGGAUGAUGUAUUUUUGCUACUAAGGCCCCGUUUAGUAAAUUUUUUAUUUUAUUUCCCGUAACAAUUAUUUAUGUUGUUUUGUCUCACGGAACAAAAAAAGAAUAGAAAUCUAUUUAGUAAAUUUUUUAUUUUUUAGAAUGAAAAAAGAAUAGAAACCCAUUUAGUAAAAUUUUGUUUCCAGGAAUAAAAAAUCCAUUUUUUUCCUGGGAAUAAAUUUGGAACAGAAACAAAAAAUAGAAAAAAAUAAAAUUUUAUUUCCAAGAAUAAUUCCUAAGAAUUGGAUGAACAAAAACAAAAAAUUUAUUUUUUCUUCUCUUCUCUCUUCUUCUUCUUCUCUCUCUCUCUCUUUUUUUUAAUUCUCUUUCAUUUUCUUCUACUUUCUUUUGGUCGGUUGCCAACUUUGGCCGUGGCCUGGUGAGGCUUCGGCUAGCUCGCCGGACCUUGCCUAGCCGGCAACUGGCCAAAGAGAAAAACAAAAAGAAAAAAGAGAAAAGAGAAAAAUAAGAAAAUAUAAUAAAAGUAUUAAAAAAUUAAAAGAAAUAAAAAAAAUUAAGAAACCUACCAAACGCAUUUUUAUCCCUAGAAUAAAAAUUUUAUGUAGUUAUCAAAGACCUUUUUUUGCUCAGAAAUUAUCCCUAAGAACAGAAUCAGCAAAGACCAUUUUUAAUAAAAAAUUGUUCUCCGCAACUAAAAAGGUUACGAAAUGCGUCCUAAACUAUCAAACAAGAACGAGAAUAAUGAAAUUAUAGUCCUAUUCAAGCAGCGACAACAGCUUCAAGGGCCGCCACCGAAGCAGUUGCCACCUUUUUCGGAAGCAUCAACCACUGCGGCACCACCUACUUUAGGUCCAUCUGAGUUGGGUGCCGAUGGCAGACAAAGCUUCAGGUGGGACGGAGCGUUGUGCUUCAAGAGAAUCUGUUGCAUCCUUGAAAUUUCGGUUGGCUUUCCUAGUUUAGGGCCUUGAACAACAACAGAGGGCUUCUUCUCUUGAUCCUUCUUUCCUCUGAGGAACUUCAUUAUGGAUGAGCUCUGCAAUCGCCUUCCAAUAGUUCUUGUCAGCCUUAGUGCGGAACUUCCCUAGGCUGGCCAAAAACAACUGAACCACGAAGGACAUAGCAUCAGAAAAGGCCAGUAACAUUACCAUGACAACAUCCCCUACCAGACUGCCAAAGGUGACCGCAUAAAAGCAAUGGUCCUAUGCAACUAUUAGUGCUCUGAUUCUUCGUGUUAUUUCACCUUGGAUUAAACAAUUGAUAAGAUGUCCUUGAUAUAUCAUAACGAAUAUAACCUAUGACAUUAACCAAAUUUAAUUCCAGACUAGUUAAGUUCAACCACAUUCAGUUUUUUCUCCAUCCUAUGCAACUUGUGUUAUUUCACCCAGUCACGAUAAAUCAAGUCUUAGAUGCAUUGUAACGAGUAUAACAUUGACACUAGUCAGAUUUCCAAUCAAUUGAGAUCAAAGACAUUCUGAUUUUCCCCAUCCUGCAUAAUAGCAAAUGUCCUAGGAAAUAACUAAGAUCUUAAUCAACACACGCCAGUAAUUUACUUUAAUUUGGUCCUAGAAUCUACUCCCCGUAAUCGCCAUUGUAUUUACAGCACUAAUAAGGAUUCCCCAAACACAUCGUGCCCUUUAAUCUUCCGCACCAACUACAAGGCAUUUUACCUCAUUAUAUUGAAUAAUGUCCGAAUUGUGUGCGCUACCAUAAAAAGUAUGAGGCUAAAGUGCAGUUCAAAUGCAUGAUAUACCGUUGGCGUGCUCCUCCUUUGCAAGAAUACUAUUUGAUCGUAGUGGGCAUUCGAUACUUAGAAUAGAAUUGUUUUAAAGGGUACUUUAACUUGAUUGACCCCAAUUUGCAAGCAUGGGAGCUACUAACGCACCUCAUACCUUAGACAUUAACAGAAAGCUGAUGCAUUGCAACUUAAUUUUCAACUCUCGAGUCAGCAUUAUGCAGUUCUUCACAAUGAUUACAAAAGAUCAUUUUUAAAUCAAUUUGAUUAACUAUUGCAAAUCUAAAAAUCAAAUACCAUGGCUUGAAUAUUCCACUAACAGUCGUCAGCACAACUUCCAUGAAUUAAAUGAUUACAAUUUAAUGCACUGAUGUGAUACAACGGAAUCAUAUAGAACCCCCCUGGCAAAAUUGUUACAGAAACAAUCACAAAAUAUAUAUAUAUAUAAUUCAAGUAUUAACAAAAGAUAAAUAUCAUGAAUUAAGCUUGCAACUGUAGAUUGGAAGCGCUCGCCUACUCAUUUUUCCUGUUGUUUGUCUUGUUCUCGCAUGUUAUCGUCCUUUUCCUGUAGAGCAUUUCCAAUUUCCCUAUCCUCUGUUUCAGGGAGUUCUAAAUUAAAGCUUUCACUUUCUGAAACAACAUCAGAAUCUUCCUCAUCAGGGUCAAACAUUUCAUCUCCAACUAAACGAUCAUUCAAGUCCUUAUGCUCACUUUCUUCAUGCUGAUGUUCACUGAUAUGAUCAGAAACUGGAGGCAGCAAUGGCUUUUCAUCUUGGUCUUUAUAAUCUGACAGGACAACAUACUUACGUUCAUCAAGCCGAGGCUUUGCAACGUUGAAGGGAACCCACCUGAGAUAUGCAGUAAAUAGCUUGCACAUUAACUUUGACAAUAUGCAGAAGUACUUAUUGCACAUGUUAAAGAAUAACUGAGCUCACAUAGUGACUAUUAAAUGUGAAGUAGUUGAACUAAAAGGGAUGAUGAGUUUAAAAGUUCACUUCCUCGCAAUUUGGAAGACCCUCAAGAAAUAAAGUUUCAUCCAAAGAAGGAGAGUGCAGGAGGGACGUACUGGUAACGGAGGGGACAUAGAAGCUCAGAUGGCCGAUACGCUGCUUUAUAUCUCAUCUUGCUGCAUGAAUGAAUGUAAUAGCCAAGGUAAUAAUACUGGAGACUGGGGCAGUGAACUCGAUUCUCCUUCACCCAAGAUAUUUCUUGCAAAGCCGAAUAUUUUCCCAGUGAUAAAAAGGCAAAGUCAGGGUCCCAAAAUAAAUAUUUACUCGACAAGCAUUUAGGAAGGAUAUCCACCACACCAACCGCAACUAAUCGGCCAUCAAUAACAUAUGACUGAUGGAAAGACCCAAAACCGCAGGGAGGAACUGAACCAUCACCGGUCGAGGGAACAAAAACCAAUGGUGUGUCAACCAAAAAACUCUCGUACCCUUCCUCUGUGAUAUCGUCUGGAUUGUCCUUGUGCACUUUCAACUGAUAUCGCCUGUACAACUCAAAUUCUUCACGCUCAAAACUGGAUCUUUUCAGAAGAAUCUCAAGCUUCCGCCUUUUUCCUGAACAACAGUUACAGCACCUCACCAUACAUCUUCUCUUGUUUCCAUUUCUCGUUGAAGAUUCUUUAGAGAGAGAUUUUUCUUCGCCAGUCUUAUCCGCUGAAGCGUGCUCUGCAAUAGAAUAAAAGUUCAGAUGUCCGUUACAUGCUUGGACCAAGAAGCCAGAUGUUUCAUCCGUUUGAGACAAUGACCGCGCCAACUUUUCUCCAAUCCUUCGAGGUGUCAACUCAGAAGGCAGUUGGUCUUCUGCUGAGAUUCCAGAGAAUUCUGACCCUUUUUCAUCCUUUUUUUCUGACCGCGCACGCCUUAAAGUGGCAGCCAAUUGGAAAGCAAUGUUACUGGUAUACGAGAGAUUUUCCAAUCCUUUGACUAGCUUCUUCUUCUUGGUUGGGGAGCCUCCUUUGACAGAAGCUUUAGGUAAUUGAAGAUUGGCAGAAAACGUCUCGCUUUCGAUACAUGCCUGCACAGCCUUAUCAAUUGCAUCAGACAAGUAAUGCAUAAAUUGUUCUGGCUCAUUCUUAUCCUCCUCCACGUCCACAGAAGUUUCAACCGUUGCCAAGUUUGACCUUCCAUGACAUUCACAUUCACAUGCCACUUUAGAAGUAUUUAAAUCCUCCAGGAGCUCAGGCUUGGCUUUGGUGUCCAGUGUACCAUCCAGAAACCUAGAAAAUAAUCACCAUGGUGAGAAAUUCUUGUACAUUAUAUCCAGAGUAUGCAGCUUUGCUAAAUCCUCACCUCAAAGGUAUAAUUCGGUUGAAAUGCACAAGUAGCCUAACAAUUUUUGCAACCAUUGCACUUGUUAAGUUUAGCUUCAUGGUGUAAAAAGACCGAGAAAUUUCUCAAGGAGUCAAAAAGCAAAGCUCUUUCACUUUGAGAAAUCUCCUAGGUUGGAAAGCUUAGUGACGUCAAACUAAAAUUCCACUCAUGGAGUUGUCCGUUGAAAUACCAUUCCAAUGCCUACCAGCCUCAGAGUGGGCAAAUAGUAUUUUUGAUGACCACUGGUCUAAUCAAUUGACAAAGAAUGGACUCCAAACUCGAAUGCUGUCUUGAAAACAGGGUGGUGGUCGAUUUUGCAAAAUCCAACGACGACGGACUGAUGAAAAAAAUCAUAUGUGAAGAUGCAAUGAUCCAAUGAAUAGAAUCCAUAAUGUAGAGAGGUUAUUAAAGUAAUACCUUUCCAUCCGUUUGCGUACUCGAUUUUGCUCCUUGGAAGGAGAAAAGUCCGCUGCUUUUAAGCGGAUAGUAUAAGAAGGGCAACACGUAGUACUCAUAUCUGGCUUGUAAAGGAAAGAGCCAGAUCUUCUCCAUCCUCGAUCAAGGAGAUCUACAGGAUGAGCAUCGAAGUAUGAAUUGCCACUCAAAAGAUAAAUGCACAAUCAUUGAAUGUACUAUAACAUCUAUCCGAGCCAUCAUUGCCACAGUAAGAAAACUAUUGGGAUAGAAACGACUCGAGUCGGAACUUCAGCAUCCACCAUAGCUCCAACAUGGUUUCUCUGAGCUCUUGCAGUUAAAAUACGCACAUACGGAAGCAUACGUGCGUGUCUUAACUGCUGAUAGAAUGAGUAGGCAUAAAUUUCCCUCAUACGGAUCAAGCAUUCGAAAUUUCUCUACUUCUUUCGACCAGACAUGUGCACAUAUUGAAACUACAUGAGCCGAGAGUCGAUUAGUUACAGCGCAUCGACAGUCCAGAGCUGCCCAGACUCUCAAAAUAGGAAAUCCCGCACCAACCUUGAUAGUCAUCCACGUUUAGGCUCUCCGCGAUCAAGCCUGCGAUCCAAGUCGAAGAGACGUUAAAAAACAAACAAUACGAAACGGGAAAAAAUCGUCACAGCAAGCCGACACACGCAACGAAGCGUCAGAUUGGAACUAAAGACUAAACGCGAAUCAGCAAUUCCAGCGACCGUGAACGUCACAACAGACGACAAAAGCCGGCAAAAAGCAAACCCGACGCACGGCAUCUCCAGUCCCGAGCCACCGGAGUCCGGGCAAAAACCGUACUCAACGACACGGGCGGGAGGCAAACAACGAGAAACGAAGGAGGAACCGUACGGACCGUGAGAAAUGCUGGACCGAUUGGACGAUCCGCAGUACCCGCAGGAGCUCCUCUGCCGGCCGCAGUCCAUGACCACCGACUUCCCCCUUCCGCCGCCGCCGCCGCCGCCUCCGCCUCUGUCGCUGCUGCUCGCCUCGCUGCGAUGAUGGGCCGCCAUGUUGGAACCAAAAGGACUUGGAGGGAGAGAGUACACACACAAAGAGAGAUUAUAUUACACAAUAUGCCUUUGUAAAGGCUUAAGAGAGUACACACUAACUUUGCUAAGUUUAAAACUCUCUCUAAAAACUCACUCUCUCACAAAAACACUCUCACACACUGAACUAACGUAACCCUAUAUCUAAAAGUACUUCACCGCAUGGACUUCAAACCUGCAAGAGUUAAAUUUGAACUUUACUUCUUGGCAGUCAAAAAAAAACGUCGGCUGCGUAUCUCUUCUUCUUGCUGUCUUCAGAGAGAAUAAAAUAUUGCCAUCCCCAAGUUGCUUUCCUUCCUUUCCUUCGUGCUCUUGGAGUCUUCAGCAGCAACUAUAAUAUUUUAUUGUGUGCCCAAGACUUGUACUUUCUUCAUGAUUUUUCUUCUCCGGCGGCUCAGAGAGACGUGGUGCUGUAGCACACGUUUCUUUGACGGUUUACAAACCUAAUAACUCUUAUUUACACACACACAGCCAAAAACAAUUAAAAGACAAAUAAGCUAGUCAAAACACAAAACCAAUUUUACUAUUUUCUAACAGCCUCCCUUAAAAUUGAUUUUGUAAGACUACGACACCAAGCAUUGUCUUCAAUUUCUCGAACAGAUCCGCCUUCAAUGGUUUUGUCAAAAUAUCUGCAAUCUGGUCUUCGGAUUUACAGAAAUCAAGUUCAAUCUCAUCUUCUUUAAUCAGCUCACGAAUAUAAUGAUACUUGAUGUCGAUAUGUUUGCUCCUGCCAUGAAAUACAGGAUUCUUGGCCAAUGCAAUUGCUGACUUGUUAUCACACAUCAAUUUAGUAGGACCUUUUUGUUCAUGCAUAAGCUCAAAAAGCAUCCUUCGAAGCCACAUCGCCUGACAUGCUGCUGAAGAUACUGCAAUGUAUUCUGCUUCAGUUGUUGAGAGUGCAAUAACUUGUUGUUUCUUUGAUGACCAAGAAAUUAUUCCUGAUCCAAGAAAGAACGCAUAUCCAGAAGUGCUCUUUCGUGUUUCAGUAUCACCUGCCCAAUCACUGUCUGUAUACCCCACUAAACUGAAGUUGUCAGUGUAAGAAUAUGAAAUUCCAUGAUCACGAGUUCCACUGACAUACCUUAAAAUUCUUUUUGCUGCUUGCAAAUGUGAUUGGUAUGGUUUCUCCAUAAACCGACUAAUAAUUCCCACGCCAUAAGUUAUAUCUGGCCUAGUGGUAGCCAAAUAUCUUAAACUGCCGACAAUACUUUUGAAAUAAGUGGGAUUUACCAGUUCACCGGUUCCUUCUUUCUUCAACUCCAACCGUUCUGCUACAGGAGUUCGAAUUGAUUUGAGCGUUUCCAUAUUGAAUCGCUUCAAAAUAUCAUUAGCAUACUUCUGCUGUGAAACAAAUAUGCCUUCAUUUGUCUGCUUCACUUCAAGGCCCAGAAAAUAGGACAUUAAUCCCAAGUCCGUCAUCUCAAAUUGACUUGUCAUGGCCUCCCUGAAUUCAGCAAACAUCUUCUCACAGCUUCCUGUAAAUAUCAAAUCAUCAACAUAAAGGCAAAUAAUUAUAAUAUUGCCGUUAGUAUUUGAUUUGAUAUACAGUGUAUGCUCAUAAGGGCACUUUUGAAAGCCAUGCUCCAACAGGUAAGUAUCAAUCCUCGUGUACCAAGCUCGAGGUGCCUGUUUUAGCCCAUACAACGCUUUCUUCAAUUUAUAAACUUGAUUUUCACGCCCUUUCUUCACAUAACCUUGUGGUUGCUCCACAUAUACUUCCUCAUCAAGAAAACCAUUAAGGAAUGCCGAUUUCACAUCCAUUUGAUGGAUUUUCCAACGGUUCUGAGCUGCAAGUGCCAAGAUCAUUCGAAUGGUAUCCAUUCGAGCCACCGGUGCAAAUACUUCAAAAUAAUCAAUACCUGGCUUUUGCUUGUAGCCUUUCACCACCAGUCUAGCUUUGUAACGGUCCACCUGACCGUUGGGUUUGCACUUCGUUUUGUACACCCACUUGACACCUAUAGGCUUCUUACCAGGUGGUAAAGAAGUUAGCACCCACGUGUCAUUCUUUUCAAUGGAGUGGAUUUCUUCAUCCAUUGCUUGGUUCCACUUCUCAUCUGCUGCUGCAUCAUCAUAGGAUAUGGGGUCACAUUCGGUAAAUAAACAAAAGUUUACCAUUGUUUCAUCAGUGAUUUCGUCACUGUCAUUAUGAUCAACUCUUGUGACCACAUAAUCCUUGAAUUUUACUGGCGUCUUUUGCGGUCGUUGUGAACGACGAAUCAAUGGUUCUGCAGUCGUUGCUGGUGAGGAGGAUGAACUACCAGGUGAAAGUGAUGGAUCUUCAAUUGAAGAUUCUUCGGUCUCCCUCAUCAAUGGUUCAUCUUCCAUAGGAAUGUCUUUCUGGUCAGCCUUUUGAUUCCAGUCCCAGGCUUCAUCUUCAAAAAAUUGGACAUCCCUGCUAAUAAUUACCUUCUCCGUGACAGGAUUAUAUAGCUUAUAACCCUUAGUCACAUUACUAUAUCCAAUGAAAAUGCACUUCUCGCUUUUAUCAUCCAACUUUUUUCUUCGUUCGUCCGGUAUAUGGGGAUAUGCUACACACCCAAAUACCCGUAGGAACGAAACAUCUGGCUUGUUGCCGCUCCAAGCCUCUUCUGGAGUUCUUCCAAGAACACUCCUUGUUGGACACCUAUUCAACACAAAUACAGCACAAGCAACGGCUUCCGCCCAAAACUUCUUCGGAAUGCUUUAGCCUUUAGCAUACUUCUUGCCAUUUCAAAAAUUGUUCUAUUCUUUCUUUCUACUAUACCAUUUUGCUGAGGAGUAUAGCUAGCAGUCAACUGACGUUUCACUCCAUGAAUUUUACAAUAAUUGUCAAAUUCAUUGGAAGUAAACUCUCCACCUCUAUCCAAUCUCAAUGUCUUUAAAUUAAGGCCACUCUGUUUCUCAACAUAGACUUUGAAUUCUUUAAAUUUGCCAAAAGCUUCGGAUUUUUCUCUCAAAAAAUAAGCCCAUGUUUUUCUAGUAAAAUCAUCGACAAAAAUUAGUGUGUACCUUUUUUGUCCAAAUGAUUCUACCUCAACAGGACCACAGAUAUCUGCAUGUACCAACUUCAGAGGUUGCUUGGCUCUUCUAGCUCUCCCAAUUGGAAACGAUUUCCGAUGUUGCUUUCCAACGAGACAUCCUUCACAUGAGCGGUCUGGAGCAUCGAUCAAGGGCAUGCCAGUCACCAUCUUUUUCUGGACUAGUAAUUUAAGUCCACGAAAAUUUAGAUGACCGAACCGAAGAUGCCAUAGCCACUUGCUAUCUUUUGUCGUUGCUUGGAAACUCAAUAGAGUCUUCGUCUGAAGGGAUAGAGGAAACAUCCGGUUCUUCGUCAUCUGUGUCGUCGUAAUCAACUUAUUGUUUGAGCCUCUAAUGGUGCACACACCAUUUUCAAUGUUAACUUUGUGGCCUUUUUCGGAUAGUUGCCCAACACUCGGCAAAUUCCAAAAGAGUCCCACCACAAAGUAAACGUCUGCAAUAGUAACAUUAGUACCAUCUUUUGAGUUGAUAUCAAUGUUACCUUUGCCCAUCACGAGAAUUUUGGAUUUAUUCCCGAAGUUGACUUCACCACGAACCGUCUCAUCUAACUUCGAAAAUAGCUCCUUUUGACCACACAUGUGAUUGCUGCACCCAGUAUCAAGAUACCAAAUUUUUGUGUCCAUGGUACUUGAGUCAUCCAUUUGGCAUGCUAACACCACGCCUUCAUUUGCAUUGACAGCGUGCACAUAUUCUGGCUGCUCUUGCCCCCUGUUUGCUCGACAUUCGGAUUUGUAAUGUCCGAAUUUGUUACAGUUAAAACACUUGACUUUUGAUUUGUCACGUGUUUGAUAUCUUUUAGUGGAAUUCAGAUUUCCACCUCUACCUCGGGCACCACCACGACCUCCACGACCUCGGGCACCAUGAUGACCUCCUCGAUUUGAUUGAGUGACCCGACUUUGCAGUGCUUGCUCAGAAUUCGAACUGAUAGACUUUUGGUUCAUUCUUUGCUCAUGCGAACAUAAUGAACCCAUCAACCUCUCCAACGUCAUGGUUGAUAUAUCUUGGCCUUCUUCGAUCGCCGCAACGACGUAGUCAAAUCUUUCAGUCAAAGACCUCAAAAUUUUUUCUACGACUCGUACAUCUUGGAGCUCUUCACCAUUAACCCUCAGUUGGUUAACGAUGGUUUGUACACGAUCAAAGUAAGCCGAGAUAGAUUCUGAGUCAUUCAUGCGUAAAGACUCAAAAUCUCCUCGAAGUGUUUGGAGCCGCACCCGCCUGACACGAUCAUCACCUUUGUAGGAUUUUUGCAAUAUAUCCCACGCUUCUUUCGCUGUCUCCGCACUCGAUAUUUUCUCAAAUAUCGUCUCCUCCACAGCUUGAAAGAUCGCAUAUAAUGCUUUCUGAUCUUUCUUUCGAGAUUCCACCAACGCUUCUUUCUCCUCCUUCCUCAAAGCAUUGAAUUCUUCAACAUCAGCUACUUCGGUGUAGCCGUUCUCCACCAGGUUCCACAAAUCUUGGGACCUGAAUAGAACCUUCAUCUGGACGGACCAGUUGUUGUAAUUUUUUCCAUUCAACUUUGGAAGUUGCAACUGAACAGAACUAGUGGAUGCCAUUGCUAGCUCUGAUACCAAUUGUUGGAACCAAAAGGACUUGGAGGGAGAGAGUACACACACAAAGAGAGAUUAUAUUACACAAUAUGCCUUUGUAAAGGCUUAAGAGAGUACACACACUAACUUUGCUAAGCUUAAAACUCUCUCUAAAAUCUCCUCUCUCACUCACAAAAAGAAAACUAACGUAACCCUAUAUCAAUAAGCACUUCACUGCCUGGACUUCAAACAUGCAAGAGUUGAAGUUGAAUUUUUCUUCUUGGCAGUCAAAAAUUGUGGGCUGCGUUUCCUUCACGUGCAAGUUGCAAGCCACAAGAUCACCUUCCUUCGUACUUCUUGAGAUCUCCAGCAGCUAGUGUAAUAAUAUUUUAUUGUGUGCCCAAGAUACUUGUACUUUCUUCAUGAUUUUUCUUCUCCGGCGGCUUAGAAAGACGUGGUGCUGUAGCACACGUUUCUUUGACGGUUUACAAACCGACUAACUCUUGCUUUCACACACAUAGCCAAAAAACAAUUAAAAGACAAAUAAGAUAAUCAAAACACAAAACCAAUUUUACUAUUUUCUAACAAGCCUGGCAUCACACUUGCCAUCGGCUGUUGCUGACUUUGUAGCAUUGUCUUCAAUUUCUCGAACAGAUCCGCCUUCAAUGGUUUUGUCAAAAUAUCUGCAAUCUGGUCUUCGGAUUUACAGAAAUCAAGUUCAAUCUCAUCUUCUUUAAUCAGCUCACGAAUAUAAUGAUACUUGAUGUCGAUAUGUUUGCUCCUGCCAUGAAAUACAGGAUUCUUGGCCAAUGCAAUUGCUGACUUGUUAUCACACAUCAAUUUAGUAGGACCUUUUUGUUCAUGCAUAAGCUCAAAAAGCAUCCUUCGAAGCCACAUCGCCUGACAUGCUGCUGAAGAUACUGCAAUGUAUUCUGCUUCAGUUGUUGAGAGUGCAAUAACUUGUUGUUUCUUUGAUGACCAAGAAAUUAUUCCUGAUCCAAGAAAGAACGCAUAUCCAGAAGUGCUCUUUCGUGUUUCAGUAUCACCUGCCCAAUCACUGUCUGUAUACCCCACUAAACUGAAGUUGUCAGUGUAAGAAUAUGAAAUUCCAUGAUCACGAGUUCCACUGACAUACCUUAAAAUUCUUUUUGCUGCUUGCAAAUGUGAUUGGUAUGGUUUCUCCAUAAACCGACUAAUAAUUCCCACGCCAUAAGUUAUAUCUGGCCUAGUGGUAGCCAAAUAUCUUAAACUGCCGACAAUACUUUUGAAAUAAGUGGGAUUUACCAGUUCACCGGUUCCUUCUUUCUUCAACUCCAACCGUUCUGCUACAGGAGUUCGAAUUGAUUUGAGCGUUUCCAUAUUGAAUCGCUUCAAAAUAUCAUUAGCAUACUUCUGCUGUGAAACAAAUAUGCCUUCAUUUGUCUGCUUCACUUCAAGGCCCAGAAAAUAGGACAUUAAUCCCAAGUCCGUCAUCUCAAAUUGACUUGUCAUGGCCUCCCUGAAUUCAGCAAACAUCUUCUCACAGCUUCCUGUAAAUAUCAAAUCAUCAACAUAAAGGCAAAUAAUUAUAAUAUUGCCGUUAGUAUUUGAUUUGAUAUACAGUGUAUGCUCAUAAGGGCACUUUUGAAAGCCAUGCUCCAACAGGUAAGUAUCAAUCCUCGUGUACCAAGCUCGAGGUGCCUGUUUUAGCCCAUACAACGCUUUCUUCAAUUUAUAAACUUGAUUUUCACGCCCUUUCUUCACAUAACCUUGUGGUUGCUCCACAUAUACUUCCUCAUCAAGAAAACCAUUAAGGAAUGCCGAUUUCACAUCCAUUUGAUGGAUUUUCCAACGGUUCUGAGCUGCAAGUGCCAAGAUCAUUCGAAUGGUAUCCAUUCGAGCCACCGGUGCAAAUACUUCAAAAUAAUCAAUACCUGGCUUUUGCUUGUAGCCUUUCACCACCAGUCUAGCUUUGUAACGGUCCACCUGACCGUUGGGUUUGCACUUCGUUUUGUACACCCACUUGACACCUAUAGGCUUCUUACCAGGUGGUAAAGAAGUUAGCACCCACGUGUCAUUCUUUUCAAUGGAGUGGAUUUCUUCAUCCAUUGCUUGGUUCCACUUCUCAUCUGCUGCUGCAUCAUCAUAGGAUAUGGGGUCACAUUCGGUAAAUAAACAAAAGUUUACCAUUGUUUCAUCAGUGAUUUCGUCACUGUCAUUAUGAUCAACUCUUGUGACCACAUAAUCCUUGAAUUUUACUGGCGUCUUUUGCGGUCGUUGUGAACGACGAAUCAAUGGUUCUGCAGUCGUUGCUGGUGAGGAGGAUGAACUACCAGGUGAAAGUGAUGGAUCUUCAAUUGAAGAUUCUUCGGUCUCCCUCAUCAAUGGUUCAUCUUCCAUAGGAAUGUCUUUCUGGUCAGCCUUUUGAUUCCAGUCCCAGGCUUCAUCUUCAAAAAAUUGGACAUCCCUGCUAAUAAUUACCUUCUCCGUGACAGGAUUAUAUAGCUUAUAACCCUUAGUCACAUUACUAUAUCCAAUGAAAAUGCACUUCUCGCUUUUAUCAUCCAACUUUUUUCUUCGUUCGUCCGGUAUAUGGGGAUAUGCUACACACCCAAAUACCCGUAGGAACGAAACAUCUGGCUUGUUGCCGCUCCAAGCCUCUUCUGGAGUUCUUCCAAGAACACUCCUUGUUGGACACCUAUUCAACACAAAUACAGCACAAGCAACGGCUUCCGCCCAAAACUUCUUCGGUAAUGCUUUAGCCUUUAGCAUACUUCUUGCCAUUUCAAAAAUUGUUCUAUUCUUUCUUUCUGCUAUACCGUUUUGCUGAGGAGUAUAGCUAGCAGUCAACUGACGUUUCAAUCCAUGAAUUUUACAAUAAUUGUCAAAUUCAUUGGAAGUAAACUCUCCACCUCUAUCCGAUCUCAAUGUCUUUAAAUUAAAGCCACUCUGUUUCUCAACAUAGACUUUGAAUUCUUUAAAUUUGCCAAAAGCUUCGGAUUUUUCUCUCAAAAAAUAAGCCCAUGUUCUUCUAGUAAAAUCAUCGACAAAAAUUAGCGUGUACCUUUUUUGUCCAAAUGAUUCCACCUCAACAGGGCCACAGAUAUCUGUAUGUACCAACUCCAGAGGUUGCUUGGCUCUUCUAGUUCUCCCAAUUGGAAAAGAUUUCCGAUGUUGCUUUCCAACGAGACAUCCUUCACAUGAGCGGUCUGGAGCGUCGAUCAAGGGCAUGCCAGUCACCAUCUUUUUCUGGACUAGUAAUUUAAGUCCACAAAAAUUUAGAUGACCGAACCGAAGAUGCCAUAGCCACUUGCUAUCUUUUGUCGUUGCUUGGAAAUUCAAUAGAGUCUUCGUCUGAAGGGAUAGAGGAAACAUCCGGUUCUUCGUCAUCCGUGUCGUUGUAAUCAACUUAUUGUUUGCGCCUCUAAUGGUGCACACACCAUUUUCAAUGUUAACUUUGUGGCCUUUUUCGGAUAGUUGCCCAACACUCAGCAAAUUCCAAAAGAGUCCCGGCACAAAGUAAACAUCUGCAAUAGUAACAUUAGUACCAUCUUUUGAGUUGAUAUCAAUGUUACCUUUGCCCAUCACGAGAAUUUUGGAUUUAUUCCCGAAGUUGACUUCACCACGAACCGUCUCAUCUAACUUCGAAAAUAGCUCCUUUUGACCACACAUGUGAUUGCUGCACCCAGUAUCAAGAUACCAAAUUUUUGUGUCCAUGGUACUUGAGUCAUCCAUUUGGCAUGCUAACACCACGCCUUCAUUUGCAUUGACAGCGUGCACAUAUUCUGGCUGCUCUUGCCCCCUGUUUGCUCGACAUUCGGAUUUGUAAUGUCCGAAUUUGUUACAGUUAAAACACUUGACUUUUGAUUUGUCACGUGUUUGAUAUCUUUUAGUGGAAUUCAGAUUUCCACCUCUACCUCGGGCACCACCACGACCUCCACGACCUCGGGCACCAUGAUGACCUCCUCGAUUUGAUUGAGUGACCCGACUUUGCAGUGCUUGCUCAGAAUUCGAACUGAUAGACUUUUGGUUCAUUCUUUGCUCAUGCGAACAUAAUGAACCCAUCAACCUCUCCAACGUCAUGGUUGAUAUAUCUUGGCCUUCUUCGAUCGCCGCAACGACGUAGUCAAAUCUUUCAGUCAAAGACCUCAAAAUUUUUUCUACGACUCGUACAUCUUGGAGCUCUUCACCAUUAACCCUCAGUUGGUUAACGAUGGUUUGUACACGAUCAAAGUAAGCCGAGAUAGAUUCUGAGUCAUUCAUGCGUAAAGACUCAAAAUCUCCUCGAAGUGUUUGGAGCCGCACCCGCCUGACACGAUCAUCACCUUUGUAGGAUUUUUGCAAUAUAUCCCACGCUUCUUUCGCUGUCUCCGCACUCGAUAUUUUCUCAAAUAUCGUCUCCUCCACAGCUUGAAAGAUCGCAUAUAAUGCUUUCUGAUCUUUCUUUCGAGAUUCCACCAACGCUUCUUUCUCCUCCUUCCUCAAAGCAUUGAAUUCUUCAACAUCAGCUACUUCGGUGUAGCCGUUCUCCACCAGGUUCCACAAAUCUUGGGACCUGAAUAGAACCUUCAUCUGGACGACCAGUUGUUGUAAUUUUUUCCGUUCAACUUCGGAAGUUACAUCUGAACGGAACUAGUGGAUGCCAUUGCUAGCUCUGAUACCAAUUGUUGGAACCAAAAGGACUUGGAGGGAGAGAGUAUACACACAAAGAGAUAUUAUAUUACACAAUAUGCCUUUGUAAAGGCUUAAGAGAGUACACACUAACUUUGCUAAGUUUAAAACUCUCUCUAAAAACUCACUCUCUCACAAAAACACUCUCACACACUGAACUAACGUAACCCUAUAUCUAAAAGUACUUCACCGCAUGGACUUCAAACCUGCAAGAGUUAAAUUUGAACUUUACUUCUUGGCAGUCAAAAAAAAACGUGGGCUGCGUAUCUCUUCUUCUUGCUGUCUUCAGAGAGAAUAAAAUAUUGCCAUCCCCAAGUUGCUUUCCUUCCUUUCCUUCGUGCUCUUGGAGUCUUCAGCAGCAACUAUAAUAUUUUAUUGUGUGCCCAAGACUUGUACUUUCUUCAUGAUUUUUCUUCUCCGGCGGCUUAGAGAGACGUGGUGCUGUAGCACACGUUUCUUUGACGGUUUACAAACCUAAUAACUCUUAUUUACACACACAGCCAAAAAACAAUUAAAAGACAAAUAAGCUAGUCAAAACACAAAACCAAUUUUACUAUUUUCUAACACGCCAUCUCCGAUCGAAGCUCCUUCCCUUCAACUAUUCAUCACCAAAGCAGAGGCGGAAAAAGGGCGAGGAAAUUGCCGGCGUCUCCGAUGUCGACGAGCUUCUAAUCUGGUGUGGAGCGAAGAAGAGGAGGGGCGACCGGGACCGGGUGCAGUCCGUUUCCGGAAUUUGGAUAUAUAAUCCGUGGGCUCUUCCUUCAAGCUCUUCUUGACUCGGCUAGGCGGUUUAACCCCCCCUUCUCCGGUUUUCCUUCCUCCCCCAGGGUCUUUCCUCGGAAAAGAGACAAAAGAAAAGUAUCAUCUCCAUUUUCAUUUUCAUUUUUAUUUUUUUUUGCUUUUCUGGUGGCGUACUCUGAGAAUAUUUCCCGAACGAGGCCACAAUUUUCACCCUCUUUUACCGCAAAGGCCCAUCGAAAGGUGGGCGGCAACUUGCGUUUUUUCACCCCGGGAGUCUCUCCCCUAAUAUUUGCCACUGCGAUCAUACGAUGAAAACUCGAAAUUAAUAUACUUACAAUAAAUUAAUUUUGAAUUAAUUUUUUAACUGUCAAAAACUUCAAACUGAUAAACUCUUUGUUAGUUUACAUUAAAUUUUACCAUUAAAUUAAUAAUAUAUGAUAAUUCAUGAACGUACUAGUUUGGAGACUUACUUUUUAUUUAUCAUAUAUGUUCUACUUUGUGAUUUUUUAAGGUAUUGAUCUAAUUUAAAGACUAAAGUAGAGUAAAACUAUCAUAAAUAUACUAUUUUGAUAUUUUGAGUAAUAAAAAAAUCAAUUUAGAGUAAAUUUAUCAUAUAUAUAUAUAUAUAUAUCAAUGUUAAUCCAUUGCUCAAAUAGCUCAAACUUCGAUUACGACAUAAAGUCCAUUUUCCAUUGAGAAAGUACAAGUUGGUGUUGGGUGUUGAUAGUCCAUAGUUCAUACAAGGGAAAGGGAAAGAAUAUUAUCGAAGAAUACAAUGUAGCAAAAUGAAAAGUAAGGGGGGACCAAAAUCGAAAGAUGUAUUUGCACGUUUUUUCUAUCAUAUCCACACUCUCCACCAAUCAAAGGCGCACGGGUGACGUAUUUCGUUCAUACCCCUUGCUCUGAUUGCCACGUUCGUAGUCUUAUCGCUAUCCCCAAAAUAUAGUAAAAGCCCUACACCCACUAACCAAUAAAAAGUUUGAGAAAGAUGUCGUGGCAACCUGGCAGGGACUUCAAUUGCCGCCUUAUUUUCAGAUGAUACCAGCCAAAAAAAGAAAAAGACAAAAAAGAACAACUAGUAGUUAAACAGUCAACCAUGGCCCUUUUCAUAUUGACUUGGGAAAUGAUGCACGGGGGCUAGAAGCCCGGGACAGAACAGACGCCUUCAACUCCAGAAAAUAUUUUGGUGCCUCUCACGUAACUAGCAUAACAAAACAAAAAAAAAAAAAAAAGAGAUCUAAAGAGGUGAGGCACGUUUAAAGUAGGCCCAAACGCCAGAUUCCCAUGCACGCUCUCUCCUAUCUCCUCUCUUUGCCCAAAUGCCAUACUCCUCUACACACGCUCUCUCUCUCUCUCUUCGCCACCCCCUCUCUAUCCCUCUGAGCCCUCGUUUGACCGACAAGCUUUCCCCCAAUGGAGGCAAAGCCACGUUUAUUCGUCCAAUUUAUUCGUCCAAUGAGGGUUCGAUCGUGACUUGAAGGGGAAAAGAGAGAACAGUCGAUGGGGGGUAGCGAGCUAUCAUCAGACCAGCGCUGUGGCUCGUCGGUUAGACAAGGGCACGAUGGCUCGUUCGCCGAACCACCGCACAUGCCUCGAGGUUGUCUACACCGUUGCGAAGUUCAUCGAUCAAGCAUGGUGGCUCAUCUAACAAACCAUCGCGGGGCUCUGCCUCCGCUUAGAAAGAUUACCUCCUCUAGCACUAGCCGACCCCAACGGAGAAGAAGAUGAACAGUCGCAAAUAAGGGCAAAAUCGAAAAAUCAAAAAGUCAGCCAAGAUAUUGGGUGUUUGAUAGAAUUUUUGAACCCACCUUGAGAAAAAGUUUGCAUUUAAAAGGCUAAAAGCUCGAGGAGAUUGUAGGUUAUCUUAGGCUUCCAUCCUUCUCAAUAUGCAAGAAGGCAGGGGGAGGUAAAAAAAUUUCUUUUUAAACUAUCCUUCCUAACUUUUUGAUUUUCCGAUUUUGCCCUUAUUUGCGACUAUUCGUCUUCUUCUUUGUGGGGGCUAGCUAGCGUGUCGACAAUGGGCCAAAGAGAGGUUGGUGUAAUUGUAGCGAUCUAGGCGAUCGUCGCCGAGGGUCAUGUGACCUGGGUGAGUGCCAUCUAGGUUGCACAAGGUAGCCUAAGGUCACUUGAUCCGAACAGUAGAUGGCCCUCGUCACUUGCAAAACCCCGACAAGAGUCUACCCUGUUUCAUGCAACCUAGUUGGCCCUUGUUAUGGUUGAGCGACCUCCGCGGGGGUCACGCUAGCAAAGGUUGCCUAGGUUUGUGUGACCUAACUAGCCCUCAUUGGAGUCAAGCAACCUCGACAAGGGGUUGCGCGAGCUAUGCGACCUAGCUAACCCUCAUUGGGGCGAAGCAACCUUCACGAGGGUCACAUCGAUGAGGGCUACUUGGGUUUUGCAUGACCUAGCUAGCCCUUAUGAGGGUCGAGUGACCUUUAUGAGGGGUUGCCUGGGUCACACGACACUCAUUAGGGCUCGCCCAACCCUAGGCAGCCUUCACCAAUGGUCUCUAGGGCAGAUGACCACCAUCGGCAACAGAUCAAGAUCGCCUACCCUUGGUUUAUUAGGGCUAGUUAUUUUAUUUUUUUUAUAAAAAAAAACUAAAAUGCUUUGUAUGUAUAAUUUUUUCAAAUAUUAUUUUACUCAAAAGUACUUCACAAUGAACUCUUAGAGUAUAAUUUAAUAAACAUGAUUUAUAUUUUGAAAAAAAAUUUUAACUUAAAAGUUCUUUGCAUUUUUUCAAAGGCUUUUUUAAAAAUCCAACGAGAGGCGCGUGCACAAGGGAGUCUAGCAUUUGGGCGAGAGAGAGGAGAGAACAGCACGUGCAGCAUUUGGACGAGAGAGAGGAGAGAGGAGAGCAUGCAAGGAAGUGACGUUUGGACCCACUUUGGACAUGUGUCACCAUUUUAGGUCUUUUUCUUUUUUAAUUAUGCUGGCUACACAAGAGGCAUCUAAUAUUUUCUUCAAAUCUAGAUGUGAUAUGAAGAGAUGGCAAGAUUGUCACCUCGAACGUCGAUUACAUAAAUGAUAACAUAGUAUCAGCAUCUACAAAAAGCCUAUCAGAAUAACAAGUCAUAUCUCAAUGUAUUACUUCGCUAGUCCCGUGCCAUCGGAUACACUUGACCCAAUGUGUGCUCCAGUCAAGCAGCGACAACUGCAUCGGUCGGCAAUAGCUUCAGGGGCGACCACCAAAGCAGUUGUUGCCUCCUCUAAAGCAUCAGCCACUGCGGCAUCACUGACUUCAGGGUCAUCUGUGUUGGGUGCCGAUGGCGGCCAAAGCUUCAAGUGGGACGGAGCACUGUGCUUCAAGAGAAUCUGUUGCAACCUUGAAAUUUCGGUUGGUUUUCCUGGUUUAGGGGCUCGGACAACGACAACAGAGGGCUUCUUCUCUUUGAUCCUUCUUUCCUCUCUUAUUUUCUAUGGUGGGAACUUCAUUAGGGAGGAGCUCUACAAUCGCCUUCCAGUAGUUCUUGUCAGCCUCAGUGUGCCUCAGUGUGGAACUUCCGUAGGCUAGCCAAAAACAACUGAACCACGAAGGACAUAGCAUCAGAAAAGGCCAAUAACAUUACCAUGACAACAUCCCCUACCAGAUUGCCAAAGGUGACCGCAUAAAAGCAAUGGUCCUAUGCAACUAUCAGUGCUAUGAUUUUUCGUGUUAUUUCACCCCGUACUGGAUUAAACAAUAGAUAAGAUGUCCUUGAUGUAUCAUAAUGAACAUAACCUAUGACAUUAACCCAAUUUAAUUUCAGACUAGUUAAGUUCAACUACAUUCAGUUUCUUCCCCAUCCUAUGCAACUUGUGUUAUUUCACCCAGUCCCAAUAGUAUUAAGUCCUAGAUGUAUUGUAACGAGUACAACAUUGACACUAGUCAGAUUUCUAACUAGUUGAGGUCAAAGACAUUUUGAUUUUCCCCAUCCUACAUGAUACCAAAUGUCCCAGGAAAUAACCGAGAUUCUAAUCACUUUCAUAUGAUAUGAACACACGCUAGUAAUCUACUUUAAUUUGGUCCUAGAAUCUACUCUCCAUAAUCGCCGGUGUAUUUAUAGCACUAAUAACAAUUCCCCAAACACAUCGUGCCCUUUACCCUUCUCCACCAACUACAAUGCAUUUUACCUCAUUAUAUCGAAUAAUGUCGGAUGGUGUGCACUACCAUAAAAAGGUAUGAGGCUAAAGUGCAGUUCAAACACAUGAUAUACCAUUGGCGUGCCCCUCCUUUGCAAAAAUACUAUUUGAUCGUAGUGGGCAUUCGAUACUUAGAAUUGUUUCUAAAGGGUACUUUAACUUGAUUGACUCCAAUUUGCAAGCAUGGGAGCUACUAACGCUUCUCAUACCUUAGACAUUAUCAGCCUACAUUAACAGAAGGCUGAUGCAUUGGAACUUAAAUUUCAAAUCUUGAGUCAGCAUUAUGCAGUUCUUCACAAUGAUUGCAAAAGAUCAAUUUUAAAUCAAUUUGAUUAACUGUUGCAAGUUUAAAAAUCAAAUACCAUGGCUUGAAUAUUCCACUAACAGUCGUCAGCACAACUUCCAUGAAUUAAAUGAUCACAAUUUAAUGCACUGGGCCAAAUUGUUAAAAAAAUACAUAUAAAAUUCAAGUAUGAACAAAAGAUAAACAUCAUGAAUUAAGUUUGCAAUUGCAGAUUGGAAGGGCUCGCCUUCUCAUUUUCCCCGUUGGUUGUCUUGUUGUUCUAACAUGUUAUCAUCCUUUUCCUGUAGAACUCAAUUUUAUACUCAUCUGCUUCACCAAUUAUUUGGUUUUUUUUUUGGUCGAAACACCAAUUAUUUGGUUCAAUAGCUCUUUCUCCAUCUUCUCUUUCUCUUCCAAUCGAACUGCAUUUUUCCUUUGCAUUGCAACAAAUUUUUAUUAUAAUAUAUCACGUAGAGAAGGGGAAAAAAAAAAAAAAGAGGAAGUACAUAGUGCCCCACAAAAGCAGGAAUUUUGCUUUGAUCAAGGUUAACAGUCACCAGCACUGAAGGGAUUUACAAGUAAAGCAAGACCUUAUAUUAUUUCUUUAGUAAAGUCUAAGCACAGAAUUGAACAAUGGGUAAUUAAAUUCGUACCUAAUCAUUGGGUAAUAUCAUAUUGGAACUCUUGGAUUUCUAAUAUCCACUGUCGUCCUUUAAAAACUUUGAAGCUAUGCGAUAAUCAUACUUUCAAAACUAUUAAAUCAAUCCAGUCGUUAUUUCAUGGUGGUUUGGUCCUUCAAUAAAUAAGCAGUCAUUGGCUUUGAUUUCAACGUUCCCCCUCCCCUCAAUCCCCAUCCCUCUCCUCUUGAGGGCUUCUACAAUCGCCUAAGUUGGUUAACAUUAGAUCAGGCAAGAAUUAAUUCCAUUCACUACGGCAUUUUCAUGUUAUUGUGUGCUAAGGCUUUUUCUAUAGGAGCUACGACAAAAUGCAUGUGAUCUCACGGAAAAAAAAAGAGUAUAUAUAUAUUAUCUUCAAAAUCUAGAUAAGAUCGCAUGGACUCAAUUGUGAAGGCCAUGGAAAUCCAUAAGCAGAUGGGAAUUUGAGAUUCUGCAAGCCCCAGGACAAUCACACAAAGUUAACAGGAUUUUCGAGAAGUGAGAGAAUUCUGGGGCUGCUAUUAGCCAUUAGGUGGGUAUGAGUGUCGAGGGUUCUCGUCCCAAUUGUCCCAGGUCCCUUCCAAUCCCCAACUUGCGAAUUCAAUCUCUGAAGCAUUGCAAAGAUCAUAAUUUUUCCCACAGAAUUAGCACCACUACGAGGUCAUCUGAAGUGAUCCUACAUGAUAACAGUACUAAGAUGCUCUAACAGCCAAAAAAAUUCCCUCUAUUCACUCAAAAGUGCGGCUUUCUCUUUCUAGAAGUCUAUUUUCCCCGACUUAACUCAGCGAUUAUAGCAUCACUUUCAUAGCACGAGAAUCAUCGGUAUUGCUCUUUAAGCUAAUCAUCGCACUACACUUAAGAUCAGAGAACAAAGCUCUUCAAACCACCACACUGAUAUGACCACAAGACAUCUCUCCCCAGAGAGAAUGAUCCAUAGAAGACUCAAAAUUCUGUAACAUCGCGAGACUCACAUCCUCCACUCUCUCAAAGCAAAUUGUUCCUCAGGCUGCAUCUCCAUCGGGGGUGGCAAAACGGGGCCGUCCGCCUCGUCCGUCGAGAACUGCCCAGCCACAGCGUAGACCGGACAGUCGGCCGGCACAUGCUCCAAGAAAAAACCAUCCACGGAAGCGAAGCCGCCGGCAUCGUCGUCGUCGUCACCCUCCUCCUCCUCAAGUGAAUAGACCAUUCGCUCAGACAACUCUCGACCGACCACUCUCACAUACCUCUGCACUUGGGCUUCGAGCUCAACAAGACCAAAGGCCCCUUGCAGAUCCUUCAUAGAAGAAAUAGACCAGUGAGCCAUUUGGUGUAUCAAGUGUACAUACAGGCAACUCACAAGACGGAUCUCUGUUCAAGACACCAAGUAGAUUAUGUAAUUAUGUGAGUUCCAUCAAUUGAAAAAAACACACUUAAUUCUUUUUCUGUGAGGGGUAAAAUCAACUAAAUAAUUGGAGGCACGAAUUAGAGAAAAGCAGGGCACUAGCUGAAGAACUGUCCAGACAAUAACCCAUUGGCUUCUCUUCUCUAUAUUAACCAAAAUGCCAGUGGAAACUCAAAAUGACAUUCAACAGUGAAACAUCCAAUAACAGACGCAAAAGGAUCUUCUCACCCAAUAAGAAAGGAGAUUUAGAGUUGCUGAUGAACUUUUCAUACCUUGUAUCUCAGGCGAGACCCCCGUAAUCCUAUUAGAGCUUUUCCAAUAUCCCUAUCCUCCAUUUCAGAAACUGGAGGCAGCACUGGCUUUUCAUCUUCAUCUUUAUAAUCUGACAGGACAACAUACUUUCUUUCAUCAAGCUGAGGCUUUGCAACGUUGAAGGGAACCCACCUGAGAUAUGCAUUAACUAGCUUGCACAUUAACUUUGACAAUAUGCACAGGUACUUAUUGCAAGUGUAAAAGAAUAACAGAACUCACAUAAUGACUAUUAAGUGUGAAGUAGUUGAACUAGGAGGGAUGAUGAAUUUAAAAGUUCACUUCCUCGCAAUUUGCAAGACACUGAAGAAAUAAAGUCUCAUCCAAAGAAGAAGGAGAGUGCAAGAGGGACGUACGAGUAACGGAGGGGACAUAGAAGCUCAGAUGGCCAAUACGCUGCUUUAUAUCUCAUCUUGCUGCAUGAAUGAAUGUAAUAGCCAAGGUAAUAAUACUGAAGACUGGGGCAGUGAACUUGAUUCUCCUUCACCCAAGAUAUUUCUUUCAAAGCCGAAUAUUUUCCCAAAGAUAAAAAGGCAAAGUCAGGGUCCCAAAAUAAAUAUUUACUCGACAAGCAUUUAGGAAGGAUAUCCACCACACCAACCGCAACUAAUCGGCCAUCAAUAACAUAUGACUGAUGGAAAGACCCAAAACCGCAGGGAGGAACUGAAC
rnacentral:lncRNA from 1 species